UGGCAGAUAGAUAGCAGCAGCUUCAGAAGCUCUCUGAAAAACCACACUUAAAAUCCAGGAAUGGUGCCAAGCGAGAAGUCCUAAGCAAGCGGAGAUACACCCUGCCGACCCAGGAACGAACUAAACUAAGAGAAGCCAACUGGAAACGCAAUCCUGAUGAUAUAACAGAACAGAUAAGGUCUCAGCACAGAAGCUGAAGCCGUGCCACUGGCAGCCGAGAUUUGAAUUUCCUGCAGCCGCCGCUGCGUCCCAAUCGGCAUAGCAAGUAGAGAGACACAAAAGCUCUGAGAGUGGGAAGCGGUGAAUGGAGUUGAGAGCGGGACUGGCCAGGAGCCCUGCAUUGACCUCCGACUAAAGAACACCUGGAGGAAGCACUUCGCAAACACCACUUGUCUCCUCUUGCUGUACCUCUCCCGGGAGUGUUUAAGGCCCCAGGACUCCAGCUUCCCUGAGUCUUCAUAGCAGGCUCGAAUUCCUAUUACUGAGUGACUGAAGAAACACAACUCAUGCUGACCAAAAAUGCUUCCCCCUAAAUACCCACAUUUCCCGCUUUCACAUCUGUACCAUCCACACUGAAGCACUAAGGUUACUGCCCAAUUAGAGGACAACACGUACAGUUUAUAAUGGACAGAAAGCAAGCACUGCCCCCCCAAUUAUAAAAUCCCCCUCUUUACAAGGUAGAUUUUACGAAUAAAGGUUGAAUUAGCAUCACAGCAGAAAUUCUGACAGUGUUUUUCUGCAAUUUAACCAGGUUUCAGAAACCCACUAUACCCCAAGGUUGGAAAGAAAGGAUUUUCAUCUGAGAGAUUUUUCUGAAAGAUUGCUUUUUUCUUGUGGAAAAAAAAAAACUGCACAAUUUGAUCACUUUAAUACUAAACUGGGAUAAUUUUGUUAUAGUUACAAUUCUGGUUUCAUUAAA